UACUAAGCAAUGGUAAGUACAAGAGUGUUCUUCACAGGAGUUUGGUGAACAAAGAAAGGACAAGAAUGUCUUGGGCUGUGUUUGUCGUGCCUCCUCAUGAAGCAGUGAUUGGACCUCUUCCAGAGCUCAUUGAUGAGAAAAACCCAGCAAAAUAUUCAACCAAAACAUAUGCCGAGUACCGUUAUCGCAAAUUCAAUAAGAUUCCACAAUAAUUGCAUUUUAUUGAGCUGAGAGGUUGGCAUUGGAAAAGUCUAUGCUGG
rnacentral:misc_RNA from 1 species